rnacentral:rRNA from 1 species
UGAGAUGUUGGGUUAAGUCCCGCAACGAGCGCAACCCCCGUUGUUAGUUGCCAUCAAGUAAUGUUGGGCACUCUAGCGAGACUGCCGGUGCCAAACCGGAGGAAGGUGGGGAGGACGUCAAGUCAUCAUGCCCUUUAUGCCCUGGGCUACACACGUGUUACAAUGGCCGGGACAAUGUGAUGCAAUCUCGCGAGAGUGAGCGAAUCACCAAACCCGGUCUCAGUUCGGAUCGCAGGCUGCAACUCGCC